AACGCGUGGGAACGUGCCCUUUGCUACGGAAUAGCCCCGGGAAACUGGGAGUAAUACCGUAUGAGCCCUUCGGGGGAAAGAUUUAUCGGCAAAGGAUCGGCCCGCGUUGGAUUAGGUAGUUGGGGGGGUAACGGCCCACCAAGCCGACGAUCCAUAGCUGGUUUGAGAGGAUGAUCAGCCACACUGGGACUGAGACACGGCCCAGACUCCUACGGGAGGCAGCAGUGGGGAAUCUUAGACAAUGGGGGAAACCCUGAUCUAGCCAUGCCGCGUGAGCGAUGAAGGCCUUAGGGUUGUAAAGCUCUUUCAGCUGGGAAGAUAAUGACGGUACCAGCAAAAGAAGCCCCGGCUAACUCCGUGCCAGCAGCCGCGGUAAUACGGAGGGGGCUAGCGUUGUUCGGAAUUACUGGGCGUAAAGCGCACGUAGGCGGAUUGGAAAGUUGGGGGUGAAAUCCCGGGGCUCAACCUCGGAACUGCCUCCAAAACUCCCAGUCUUGAGGUCGAGAGAGGUGAGUGGAAUUCCGAGUGUAGAGGUGAAAUUCGUAGAUAUUCGG
rnacentral:rRNA from 1 species